rnacentral:rRNA from 1 species
AACGAACGCUGGCGGCAUGCCUAACACAUGCAAGUCGAACGAGACCUCCGGGUCUCGUUUCGCGCGGGUGCGUACCGCGUGGGAACAUGGCCUUAGAAUCGGAAUAACUCCCCGAACCAGGUUCUAAUACCGGCUAAUAUCUUCGGACCAAGGAUUUAUCGCCUUUGAGUGUGCCGGCGGUGGAAUAGCUAGUUGGUAGGGUAAAAGCCUACCAAGUCGAGGAUCCAUAGCUGGUCUGAGAGGAUGAGCAGCCACACUGGGACUGAGACACGGCCCAGACUGGGAAUGAAGGCAGCAGGGGGGAAUACUGGAGAAUGGGCGAAAGCUUGAUCCAGCAAGGCCGCGGGAUGGAUGAAGGCUUUAGGGUUGUAAAGCUCUUUUACCCGGGAUGAUAAUGACAGUACCGGGAGAAUAAGCUCCGGCUAACUCCGUG